ensembl:lncRNA
AAAUCACUCUGUGCCUCACCUGCCUGCCCUCCUGCCAUCACACUCCAUCUGAAGACCCUGGAUCUCAGGUCAGCCUUGCCACGCCACUCAGCUCCCCUGGAUUCUCGUCACUCCCCUCUCAACAUUCUGUGUCCCCUACUGCAAUGUGACUGUUCCCUGCUCAGUUCCAAUCUGCAUCUCAGGCCCCGUUCCCUCGCCCUAGCCACGUUUCCCAGGCCACGCCACGUCAAACUCUACAUCUUAUUGUUUCUUUUUGUCCUUGCUACGUUUCUACUGCUUAAGGGAAACAAAAUAUUCUUAAACCAUCUGCUGUCUCUGCUCUGGGCUUCUGCUCCUGAGUUCAGUUCAGUACAGACCACUCGGUCCCGUGACAAUGGUGAGGAUGGCAACUGAUGCACCGUUCAACACUGGUUCCAAAAUGUCAGUGUCCUGAAGAAAAGUAAAAUAAAAUAUUGAAUUAUUGAAAAAAGACACACUAUAAACAAAACACAUUUCUAAAGAUUUUAACUUUAACCUGUAUACCAGGGAUGUCAAAGUGAAAUACAUCGGAGGGCCAAAAAAAGAAAUUUGCUACAAGCUGAGGGCCGAACUGGUUCAAUGUUUAUUAAAACAUAUUAAAAUGAUUGCACAUAACCUAUUGAACCAAGACCUAACACAGUGUACUGUAUAUUAUUUAACGAUUAAAUGAAUAAUCCAAUAUUUUCUAUGGCUCUGUCAGUAAUUUUAAGUGAAAACAUUUUUCAACAGCCUCACAGACAAAAACAAACUUACUUCAAAGAAAAAUUGCAUGUCCUGUACAUUAAAUGAAUAAAGCAAUAUUUUCUCAUGGCUCUCAGUUAUUUUGAAAGAAAACAUUUUCAACAGGCAAACAGCAAAAAAGUAAAUGUCAUUCAUAAACAAAAUAUGCUCCUUAAUAUUAAGAUGAAUGCAUAAAUGAAAUUACAUGCAUUAUAAACUGAAAGUGCAAUAUCCUACCAAUCACUGCUUUCCAAUAGUAAAAAGAGAAAAUUGAAAAAAAAACAAACAAUCAAAUCAGUUGUAUUCUUUCUCAUGGCUCUUAUCUGCAAUUUUCCCUGAGUCUAUUAACUGAAAAAUAAAUAUAAAUAAAUAAAAUACAAUAAGAUAAAAUACAAAAAUCUAUGGCACACAGACAAAACAAUACUUCCUUCAAAGAAAAAUCACAUCUUGUAGAAACAAAUGUAAAAAAAUGUAACUGAAUUAAAAACUAAAAAUACAUAAAUGUUCUGCGAUGCUCACUUGUCUGAGCCAGAGACUUGGUGGUGUCUCAUCUUUUGUACGAGUUCAUCAAUGUUCGGGGUCAGGCUCUGAGCUGAGGAAAUCCUCAGAAUUGAGUCAAGGUGUUUAUCAGUAAGACGGCUCCGGUGUGAUGUUUUGUUUAGCUUCAUCAAAGAGAACAAUUGUUCACACAGGUAUGUGCUGCCAAACAUGGAGAGCGUCUGAGCAGCUUGGAUGCGCAGCUGAGGCAUUGCGUCGGGGAUGAAACGUGCAAACUCAGUGGCACCCACUCUCUCAUAUUUUUCCCUCAGUGUCCCUCCAUUUGGAGGUUUGGUGGUGCGCUUUCCACAUCAACUCCAAAAGGAUUGGCAAGUAGUUCGAACCUGCUUUUUUGAGCUUCAAAGUCAGCAAAUCGGC